rnacentral:rRNA from 1 species
AUGGCUGUCGUCAGCUCGUGUUGUGAAAUGUUGGGUUAAGUCCCGCAACGAGCGCAACCCUUAUCCUUUGUUGCCAGCGAUUAGGUCGGGAACUCAAAGGAGACUGCCAGUGAUAAACUGGAGGAAGGUGGGGAUGACGUCAAGUCAUCAUGGCCCUUACGACCAGGGCUACACACGUGCUACAAUGGCGCAUACAAAGAGAAGCGACCUCGCGAGAGCAAGCGGACCUCAUAAAGUGCGUCGUAGUCCGGAUUGGAGUCUGCAACUCGACUCCAUGAAGUCGGAAUCGCUAGUAAUCGUGGAUCAGAAUGCCACGGUGAAUACGUUCCCGGGCCUUGUACACACCGCCCGUCACACCAUGGGAGUGGGUUGCAAAAGAAGUAGGUAGCUUAACCUUCGGGAGGGCGCUUACCACUUUGUGAUUCAUGACUGGGGUGAAGUCGUAACAAGGUAACCGUAGGGGAACCUGCGGUUGGA